rnacentral:lncRNA from 1 species
AAAAAUAUAUAUGAAAAUAAAUAAAAUUGAAAGUGGGACACAAAGUGAGACAUAAAGUGUGGUACACUGAAUCUCAUUCCGGGUUGUAUGUGUGUGGAAACAUAAGACAUUAAAUUAGGUCUACCCAUGUUUAUGUUUUUAGUUAGUGCUCCUGUGAUUAAAUGAUUUUUCUUUUAUGCAUUUCUGAUUUUCCACUACUCCAUCAAUAGCCUGUGGAUAUAUAUGUGUACUUAGCAAUUUGUAUUCAUUAGUAAUUAGUGAAUGAUAGCAUAUUUCAGUCUACUAUUAAUUUAUGAAAUUAAAUUGAGUAUUGGAAAACGAAAACUGCAAGGAGAAAAAAAAAUACUUUU